rnacentral:lncRNA from 1 species
CUUGAACGUGUUCGGAGCUCUGUAAAACAUUUAUUAAAAAUCCGUCUAGUCUGCACCAAUCCCACAGGAUGGAUGUAAAGGAUUUCGCAAUAAAAAUACUCUGCUUCAUUUCCAUUCUCUCAAAUCACUAUGUGAAGGGAUAUGGUUCAAGCUUGAAGUGUUGUUUUGAAGUUUUGACAAACCUCUCGGUUUCCUAUCAUCUCAAUGAGCCACCUGGAGACUUCUGUACACCAACAUGGUCAGAAAUGGAAUACGUUGUGGUUGACGAACAUGGAAAUGUGGAUGAGACGAAGGUAGUGUAUCUUGAACCACAGAAGUUAAUUCUCAAACAAAACAUGAAUGAGAUGGUCAAAGAGGUCAAAUACCGAAAGGACUGUCAAUGGCAUGCUUACACUGCCAGUUGCCAUGAUCCUUGUAAUGCUUUGGACCUGCUCAGAACUACUCCAGGUGAGAUCAGAUAAAUGAGGCCGUGC